rnacentral:misc_RNA from 1 species
AGCGGGAAAAGGGGAGCAAGAACAGCAGUCACACAGUCACACAGGCACACGCAUACACACACACACACACACAUAUAUAUAUAUAUAUAUAUGCAUGUAUAUGUGUAUGUGUAUGUAUAUAUAUAUAUAUAAGCAUUGUAGGGCAAAGCGACGGAGGAGCAGGAAGGGCAUCGCAUUUUUUUUUGGUGCGGGAGGGCAUCUGUAGAGCGGUGGGAGGAAGGGAGGAGGAAAAGCAGGUGCUACCAUCUUCUGUGCGUUUUUGUGCAUGUGUCGGGGAGAGUCGCAGCGCCACACACACAGGAGCGCCGCAGUCUGAUAGAGGCAUCGCUGCCCUUUUCUCUUGCGGCUGCUGUUUUUGUUUUUUUUUUGCACCGAUCAUCCCUCUUUCUUCUUCAACCCCUCUGACUGGUCCCUCACCUCCUCCGACCUCCUCCACACCCGCCCACCCAUCCACACAUAGAUACACAUCCUUCCUUGCCGCGCCAGAUGCUGCGUAUCGGUCGGCGGAGCCUCGCUGUUGUCACAGCGGCUGCCAUCACGGACGCGGCGACCAAGCUGAACGCGCUCCUCGACAUGAAGAAUCGUACUCAUCCGGUUCCUCAUGGUGAGAUAAAGCGCUUUCUCAAGACGGAAGUAAUGCCGGUGCUGGCGGGAACGGAGCUGGACCGGCGCGGUAACUCGACGGACCUCCGUCACUUCCUCGGCCAGCUCACCCGCGACGCGGCCUUCGCGGCUGUCAUCGUUGGUGCCCGUCCAGAGGCGAGCUUUGUGCAGGCAAUCGUGACGUGCAUCAAGGAGGACCAUCGGCGCAUGCGCUUUCUUCCCAAGAUGUCCUCGCCGCAGGCGACCAAGAUCAUCGAAUAUCUUUGUAAGGCGGGCGUGACAGAUACGGAGGUGUACCCCGUCCUGAUCUCGCGGCUGAACUUUGGCACUCUGAACGAGCUGGGCAGGGUCAUGUUUGCACUCACGGAGUCAGGCUUUCACGCUCUGAACAUGCUUGUUGUUGUACCCCUCUACAGUGGAGAAAAGUGGGUGCUCAACUUCGACAAGACGAAGACGAAGAGGAACGCGCCGUCGUGCAGCGCCUUCGACGCCGUGCGCGUUCUGCGCGCGCUCUCCAAAUCGUGCCGCGCCUAUGUCGAGGAAUGCCGGCGCGCCCCAAAGGAAGGCAUGACGGGCGUCCCCAGCGAGAGCCUUAAUCUACUACGCAACAACCUCCUGCGCUUUAUCUUCGAAAACGCGUCCGUGCUGCGCGGGGCCCACUGGCUGAACGUCGCCCGUGCACUACUGAACUUCCCGAGGGAGUUCAGCGAACUGCGGAACUUCGUCCGAGACUACCCGGCUAUCGAGAAGGAAGUGCGGUCUGCGCUCGACGUGUCAAGGGACCGCACAGUGGCGCCAUCGUCGCACGACGCGGCAGCACCAUGCGCCGUCAACUGCGAAACCGUUGGGGCGGCCGCAAUGCAGUGCGUAUUUCAGUACGCCGAGCAGCGCAGUGCUAUCCCAGAUGUGGAGGUGGAGAGCCCCGUCAGCGCGGAGUUCCCUUUUGACCUUAGCUACGGCGACCUCGUGAAGCUGCUCCCCUUGCUCGAUCAGUUUCCCUGCAUGACAUCGGCGCAGAAGGCCCAGCAGCGUGCGGAGCUCGUGCUGCAGGUGAUGUGCGCGAACGUGCACCGGCUCCGCCUGCAGGACCUUGUCGCCGCGCUACAGGUGCUGCGCCGCAUACAGCCAGCGGCCACAACGACAGCGGCAGUGGAAACGAUCGCGCACGAGGCGGGCAACCGCCUCACCGUUUCCUCUGCAGAAGAGGUGCUCGGUGCCAUAUCCUUCCGCACGGUCGCGCAACUUGCAGCCGCGCUGGCGGCGCUGCGCGUCACUCGCUGCGACGGCUUCGUUACGUUUGUGACCACCAGGAAUGACAUAUUUCCGUCUUCGCUGACCGUGGACACGGCGCUUUCCUUCAUCAACGCCUUAGCGGCGCUGAAGAUGACGCACUCGAGCCUGUGCCAUGGCGCGCUGGAAUCGAUACUGCGCGGUGUGCUGAACUUUUACAGGCAGCAGCUGAGAAAUGGGCCCCUGCUGGACGCCUUUCCCAUCUUCGUCGCCCGGAUGCUGCGCGGCUGCGUGCUGCUCGACUACAUACCACCCGCGCCCAUUCUAAAGAGUCUUCUCGGCUCGGCGGAGGCGCCGCUGCGCAUGAGUGAGGAGGUGCACGGCGCUGGCGGUGUACUCGUGUUCGAUCUCUCACGCUCCCUGUCCCACUUUUUGAAGCAGGCACGGACCACCGCUCCGGAGCGGGAGAGGGAUCUGUGGGACAACGGUGUGGUGAGGGUUGCGCUGCCCCUCGCUGUCGCGUGUACCGAAGACACAGUACAUGCUAUGGAAAGCUAUCGGCAGACAUCAUCUUCCUCGCACACGGCAGUGUCGUGGCGCUCCACGGUCGAGAUGCUGGCUCUCUUCAUUGAUCCCCAGAUGAAUAGCACAGACAGAGGCACCAUGGUGCAGCGCCUGCUAGAGGUCUUUUCAGAGGUGGAAGCCUUGCUGAGGGCCGCUGCGACAGCGACCCGCGCACACCUCGAGCAGUGCUCCCGCCACAUCCACCACGCUGACGAGGCUCGUCAGCGUUCACGGCAGACGCCCUUCAACGCCAAUUGCAACAUGCACUUUCUCUCUGCUUUGCUAAUUUUUGAGUACGUCAUCUUCCACGCCAACACGCAAGCUGGGAGACUGCUCUCCAGUAUGGCUAGCCAACCCAACACUAGUGUCCGUGACGAUGCCGAGAAGGAUAUGGCAACUCUGGCGGGCUUAAAGGACCAGUACUGUGAGUUUCUUGGGGCCCCUAUCGGCGAGUCGGUGGCCGACACGCCUAUGCAUAUCGUGCGUCGCAUCUUUGAGUGCCCGCUCUCGGGCCCUGUCGCCGGCUCAGCCGCGGCGCCGUCCACAGUUGCGCUCCUGGAAAAGAGGGAUGCGGUGGAAAUCACGACCACGCUGCCGUUUGCGCUCUCUCUCGUGAUGGACCCGGGGCCAGUCAACGAGUUUUUCACGGAGCGCUGCAUGUCGAUUAUGGUGGGCGACGCGGAGGACGCACAUUGAGCCAGAAGGGAGCAAAGGCGGCGCUUGUGAGGUGCGCAGAGGCGGAAACGUUCUGAACGAAACACACGAGGCUCGACGGCAAGUGUACCAGCGUCUCUGUCUGCGCAGCCCGUCAACCCGACAACGUGGAUACGGGGGACUUCUUCCGCAGCGCCCUCCGCCCUCCGCCCUCCCUCUCCCCCCCCCCCGCGCGCAGAGGCAUACAUCUGCGCCCUCGUUGAGUCUCAAAUACAUGUGUGUUUUUUUUUUUUGGUGGGUCACCACCGAUUGUGAUGGUUGUCGGGGGGAGAGACGAGAAACGCAAAAUGAAACAUGCGCAGGAGACGCACUGGUGGCAGCGAUGGCACUGCCCGCGCUAGCAGCACAAGAAAAGUAAGAACAAGUGGUCGCGCACGUGUGCAGCGAGAGCAAGUGAUUGAAGGCGGCUCCAG